UACGAAGGGGGCUAGCGUUGCUCGGAAUCACUGGGCGUAAAGGGUGCGUAGGCGGGUCUUUAAGUCAGGGGUGAAAUCCUGGAGCUCAACUCCAGAACUGCCUUUGAUACUGAAGAUCUUGAGUUCGGGAGAGGUGAGUGGAACUGCGAGUGUAGAGGUGAAAUUCGUAGAUAUUCGCAAGAACACCAGUGGCGAAGGCGGCUCACUGGCCCGAUACUGACACUGAGGCGCGAAAGCGUGGGGAGCAAACAGG
rnacentral:rRNA from 1 species